rnacentral:tRNA from 1 species
GGGGGUAGCUCAGUGGUAGAGCAUGUGCUCAGCAUGCACGAGGUCCUGGGUUCAAUCCCCAGUACCUCCA